rnacentral:lncRNA from 1 species
AGAUCUGCUACUGAAUAAUAAUUUUAGUUAUUUUUUGUUUUUUCCCUUUUUUAUGUUAGAAUUUGAAAUCAAAAUUGAAGUAAUGGAGUUAGUUAUAUGUUUUUUUGUGAGAAGUAAUCUGAAUCAGUGUUCUGUUUCAAUGAGGACAUUUAUCUUUGGAACAAACCUGUAAACUUAUUAUUAUUUCCCUGCAUGAUAGUUGUUACGUUAGUCAAGCUAAGAAAAGACAAUCCUAUCUUCUCCAUGAAAGUGUACCUGUUCAAGUACAGAUACCCAAGAUUUAUGAAUUCUAAUAUUUUGUUACUUAAGGCGGUACCAAACACCUUGACUAAAAUUAAUUUGACUUGUUAAUUUUAAUAAAACUUUGAUCCAGUGACUAAAAUAUGAAAAUUUCAAAAAAAUUGAACCAACCACUUUCUGGUAAAAGUUUCAUUUGAUAUAUAGUAGUUUGAAUAACACUGAUUUUGAUCAUUGAGAAGCUUAUAUUUCCUUAACAAUACAAUGUGAUUAAAACAUCUAGCUGAUUUCUACAGAGUUAUCUCCCUGUAGUGUUAGAUACCACCUUAAUAUGCAUUUAUUAGGAUAUACACUUCAAUUCAAAUUAACUUUUUUUUAUGCUUAAAGUUAAUCUGAACCUGAUCAGAUGGUUGGUCUUGGGGUGUAAAUUUCAUUUUUUUCUACACAAAAGUGUGGCUGAUCAGUGACCAUAGGAUUCAUUCAGAAAAAUAGUACUCAGUACUCUUUGCUUCUAUUCUUAUAAACUAGGUAGUGGUUGUUCAGGGGAUUGUAUGAGAUUUUCUCUUAAUCACUGUAAAAGGAUGGAAUGCCUAUAACAAAAUGGCAAGGAGUUUAUCUACCUGAAGAUAUGCUAUGAUUUUCAUUUUUGUUUUAUUAUAUUGCAUUAAUUUUAAAUAUGUGUGAAUAACUGAAUUCAUCCUAGCCUGCCGUUUUGUGAAAGAAGCUACUAAUUAAGGAAUAUUGUAAUUUUCAUUAUUUUUUUGGGAAUUUACAAUAAAUUGUAUCAAUGAAAUCACCACAUCCCACCAUACUCAUUUAAUCAUUAAAAAGUAGAUUAAAGUUUAAAAAAAAAGUUUUUAUAAUUAUUUUUUAUACUGAAAUUGGUAGAUUUGGCAUUUGAAUAAUUGAUUCAUAAACAGUAUUUGAAAGCAGCAACUUAUUACAUAACAUACACGUAGCAAUGUUUGAAUAAGGUUUUUGAUUUAGGGAUGACAUCAAAAGAUCGAUGUAGGAUAAAAAACUUAAAUCGAAUAGUUUGGGGUGGGGGGUCAACAUUGCUGCAAGUUUUGUUAAUCUAAAAUCGAUUUUACAUAUAUCCAUAUAGGUAAAUCAAUUUUUCCCAAAUUA